rnacentral:rRNA from 1 species
CUUGGUGCUCAAGGCUCAGUUGGACCCACACCAAUCCAUCCCGAACUUGGUGGUGAAAAAGCUGAGGGAUUUAGAUACUAUAUGGGUAGCUGUAUGGAAAACUAAAUUUAGUGCCAGGGAU